rnacentral:rRNA from 1 species
AUUGAACGCUGGCGGCAGGCCUAACACAUGCAAGUCGAACGAGUGGCGGACGGGUGAGUAAUGUCUGGGCAACUGCCUGAUGGAGGGGGAUAACUACUGGAAACGGUAGCUAAUACCGCAUACCAUCGGAUGUGCCAAGAGGGGAUUAGCUAGUAGGUGGGGUAACGGCUCACCUAGGCGACGAUCCCGAGCGGGUCUGAGAGGCUGACCAGACACACUAGAACUGAGACACGGUCCAGACUCCUACGGGAGGCAGCAGUGGGGAAUAUUGCACAAUGGGCGCAAGCCUGAUGCAGCCAUGCCGCGUGUAUGAAGAAGGCCUUCGGGUUGUAAAGUACUUUCAGCGGGGAGGCGUUACCCGCCGAAGAAGCACCGGCUAACUCCGUGCCAGCAGCCGCGGUAAUAC